GUGAAAUGAUGAUGAAGUUUAUCCAUUCUCUGAGUGUGCUGCUCUGCCCUUCCUACAGCUCUGAGUUCCUGUUCUAGGAACUCUUGAGUUAUGUAACCUCCAGAUACCCUCCAGACUUGCAGUGUUCUACUGUGGAUGGCAGGUGUGUGUGGUGGUCUUACUAGUAGGAAGAGAUGGAGUUAGCAGAGGUGAAACCCCAUUAUUUGGGGUCCCAUCUUACCAAGACGAAUGACUGGUGUCUGAUCAC
rnacentral:snoRNA from 15 species